CUACCGUUAGCUCAGUUGGUAGAGUAAAGGACUGUAGUUAUUAUUCACCAAAUCAGUAUUCCUUAGGUCACCGGUUCGACGCCGGUACGGUAGA
rnacentral:tRNA from 1 species